ensembl:lncRNA
CUCUUUCUGCUCCGGGCAGAUGGGAUCUGAGGGUCAUUGGAAUGUUAAAAGCUGAUCUCAACGUCAACCCCGUGGGGCCCGGCUGGGCGAUCCAGCUCAGCACAGUCGCGGGCACUUUCAAGAUUGCAGCAAAAGGAUACCCUCAGGAGGAUGUCCUGUCCACCGUCUCGGGUGUGAAGAACUGUUCUUCUCGAGCUCCAUCUUUAAGCUGACCUAAUGCCACCCUUCCCCAGGACCACACCACUCAGAUCAUGAUGGCUGCCUCCUUCACAAAGGGGACUCCUGCUUCCUUCCGGUCACCACAUCCUGAGGCCACCGUCUGCUUCAGCCCGUUGUUGUUGUUCAAUUACUAAGUCGUGUCC